CAAGCAUGAUGGAAUCCCUUCUCUUGUCCGGCAGCAUUAGUGGAUGCUGGCGAGAUGACCAUCAAGGCUGAAGUAUGGCAACAGUGUGCUGUUUGAGAGUAAACGGAGAGACAAGUUGCAAUUGAAAAUAUUAUCUUUUCCAUUAUUGGAAGCCUUGACCACUUCAAGCAAGUUGAAGGCAGAACACUCCAAGCAUGAUGGAAUCCCUUCUCUUGUCCGGCAGCAUUCGUGGAUGCUGGCGAGAUGACCAUCAAGGCUGAAGUAUGGCAACAGUGUGCUGUUUGAGAGUAAACGGAGAGACAAGUUGCAAUUGAAAAUAUUAUCUUUUCCAUUAUUGGAAGCCUUGACCACUUCAAGCAAGUUGAAGGCAGAACACUCCAAGCAUGAUGGAAUCCCUUCUCUUGUCCGGCAGCAUUAGUGGAUGCUGGCGAGAUGACCAUCAAGGCUGAAGUAUGGCAACAGUGUGCUGUUUGAGAGUAAACGGAGAGACAUGUUGCCAUUGAAAAUGUUAUCUUUUCCAUUAUUGGAAGCCUUGACCACUUCAAGCAAGUUGAAGGCUGAACACUCCAAGCAUGAUGGAAUCCAUUCUCUUGCCUGCAGCAUUAGUGGAUGCUGGCGAAAUGACCAUCAAGGCUGAAGUAUGGCAACACUGUGCUGUUUGAGAGUAAACUGAGAGACAAGUUGCAAUUGAAAAUAUUAUCUUUUCCAUUAUUGGAAGCCUUGACCACUUCAAGCAAGUUGAAGGCAGAACACUCCAAGCAUGAUGGAAUCCCUUCUCUUGUCCGGCAGCAUUAGUGGAUGCUGGCGAGAUGACCAUCAAGGCUGAAGUAUGGCAACAGUGUGCUGUUUGAGAGUAAACGGAGAGACAUGUUGCCAUUGAAAAUGUUAUCUUUUCCAUUAUUGGAAGCCUUGACCACUUCAAGCAAGUUGAAGGCUGAACACUCCAAGCAUGAUGGAAUCCAUUCUCUUGCCUGCAGCAUUAGUGGAUGCUGGCGAAAUGACCAUCAAGGCUGAAGUAUGGCAACACUGUGCUGUUUGAGAGUAAACUGAGAGACAAGUUGCAAUUGAAAAUAUUAUCUUUUCCAUUAUUGGAAGCCUUGACCACUUCAAGCAAGUUGAAGGCAGAACACUCCAAGCAUGAUGCAAUCCCUUCUCUUGAUCGGCAGCAUUAGUGGAUGCUGGCGAGAUGACCAUCAAGGCUGAAGUAUGGCAACAGUGUGCUGUUUGAGAGUAAACGGAGAGACAAGUUGCAAUUGAAAAUAUUAUCUUUUCCAUUAUUGGAAGCCUUGACCACUUCAAGCAAGUUGAAGGCAGAACACUCCAAGCAUGAUGGAAUCCCUUCUCUUGUCCGGCAGCAUUCGUGGAUGCUGGCGAGAUGACCAUCAAGGCUGAAGUAUGGCAACAGUGUGCUGUUUGAGAGUAAACGGAGAGACAUGUUGCCAUUGAAAAUGUUAUCUUUUCCAUUAUUGGAAGCCUUGACCACUUCAAGCAAGUUGAAGGCUGAACACUCCAAGCAUGAUGGAAUCCAUUCUCUUGCCUGCAGCAUUAGUGGAUGCUGGCGAAAUGACCAUCAAGGCUGAAGUAUGGCAACACUGUGCUGUUUGAGAGUAAACUGAGAGACAAGUUGCAAUUGAAAAUAUUAUCUUUUCCAUUAUUGGAAGCCUUGACCACUUCAAGCAAGUUGAAGGCAGAACACUCCAAGCAUGAUGGAAUCCCUUCUCUUGUCCGGCAGCAUUAGUGGAUGCUGGCGAGAUGACCAUCAAGGCUGAAGUAUGGCAACAGUGUGCUGUUUGAGAGUAAACGGAGAGACAAGUUGCAAUUGAAAAUAUUAUCUUUUCCAUUAUUGGAAGCCUUGACCACUUCAAGCAAGUUGAAGGCAGAACACUCCAAGCAUGAUGGAAUCCCUUCUCUUGUCCGGCAGCAUUAGUGGAUGCUGGCGAGAUGACCAUCAAGGCUGAAGUAUGGCAACAGUGUGCUGUUUGAGAGUAAACGGAGAGACAUGUUGCCAUUGAAAAUGUUAUCUUUUCCAUUAUUGGAAGCCUUGACCACUUCAAGCAAGUUGAAGGCUGAACACUCCAAGCAUGAUGGAAUCCAUUCUCUUGCCUGCAGCAUUAGUGGAUGCUGGCGAAAUGACCAUCAAGGCUGAAGUAUGGCAACACUGUGCUGUUUGAGAGUAAACUGAGAGACAAGUUGCAAUUGAAAAUAUUAUCUUUUCCAUUAUUGGAAGCCUUGACCACUUCAAGCAAGUUGAAGGCAGAACACUCCAAGCAUGAUGGAAUCCCUUCUCUUGUCCGGCAGCAUUAGUGGAUGCUGGCGAGAUGACCAUCAAGGCUGAAGUAUGGCAACAGUGUGCUGUUUGAGAGUAAACGGAGAGACAAGUUGCAAUUGAAAAUAUUAUCUUUUCCAUUAUUGGAAGCCUUGACCACUUCAAGCAAGUUGAAGGCAGAACACUCCAAGCAUGAUGGAAUCCCUUCUCUUGUCCGGCAGCAUUCGUGGAUGCUGGCGAGAUGACCAUCAAGGCUGAAGUAUGGCAACAGUGUGCUGUUUGAGAGUAAACGGAGAGACAUGUUGCCAUUGAAAAUGUUAUCUUUUCCAUUAUUGGAAGCCUUGACCACUUCAAGCAAGUUGAAGGCUGAACACUCCAAGCAUGAUGGAAUCCAUUCUCUUGCCUGCAGCAUUAGUGGAUGCUGGCGAAAUGACCAUCAAGGCUGAAGUAUGGCAACACUGUGCUGUUUGAGAGUAAACUGAGAGACAAGUUGCAAUUGAAAAUAUUAUCUUUUCCAUUAUUGGAAGCCUUGACCACUUCAAGCAAGUUGAAGGCAGAACACUCCAAGCAUGAUGGAAUCCCUUCUCUUGUCCGGCAGCAUUAGUGGAUGCUGGCGAGAUGACCAUCAAGGCUGAAGUAUGGCAACAGUGUGCUGUUUGAGAGUAAACGGAGAGACAAGUUGCAAUUGAAAAUAUUAUCUUUUCCAUUAUUGGAAGCCUUGACCACUUCAAGCAAGUUGAAGGCAGAACACUCCAAGCAUGAUGGAAUCCCUUCUCUUGUCCGGCAGCAUUCGUGGAUGCUGGCGAGAUGACCAUCAAGGCUGAAGUAUGGCAACAGUGUGCUGUUUGAGAGUAAACGGAGAGACAAGUUGCAAUUGAAAAUAUUAUCUUUUCCAUUAUUGGAAGCCUUGACCACUUCAAGCAAGUUGAAGGCAGAACACUCCAAGCAUGAUGGAAUCCCUUCUCUUGUCCGGCAGCAUUCGUGGAUGCUGGCGAGAUGACCAUCAAGGCUGAAGUAUGGCAACAUUGUGCUGUUUGAGAGUAAACAGAGAGACAUGUUGCCAUUGAAAAUGUUAUCUUUUCCAUUAUUGGAAGCCUUGACCACUUCAAGCAAGUUGAAGGCUGAACACUCCAAGCAUGAUGGAAUCCAUUCUCUUGCCUGCAGCAUUAGUGGAUGGUGGGUACCAAGAAAACGCAUUAGGAUGAUGGUCCAGCUUGGUUUGCUAGGUUUCACCAGAGUUAUGAGCUUUAAUUCUAACU